AUUUGAUGAUGGGGACAGCUUGCACAUAGUUUCUUAAAUCAUUUCCAGUACUCAUACAAGCUCUCUCCAUUGUACUGUCGGAUGCCACAAAUUUCUUAUCUUAUAUU